rnacentral:rRNA from 1 species
GAUGAACGCUGGCGGCGUGCCUAAUACAUGCAAGUCGAGCGAACAGAUAAGGAGCUUGCUCCUUUGACGUUAGCGGCGGACGGGUGAGUAACACGUGGGUAACCUACCUAUAAGACUGGGAUAACUUCGGGAAACCGGAGCUAAUACCGGAUAACAUUUGGAACCGCAUGGUUCUAAAGUGAAAGAUGGUUUUGCUAUCACUUAUAGAUGGACCCGCGCCGUAUUAGCUAGUUGGUAAGGUAACGGCUUACCAAGGCAACGAUACGUAGCCGACCUGAGAGGGGGAUCGGCCACACUGGAACUGAGACACGGUCCAGACUCCUACGGGGGGCAGCGGUAGGGAAUCUUCCGCAAUGGGCGAAAGCCUGACGGAGCAACGCCGCGUGAGUGAUGAAGGGUUUCGGCUCGUAAAACUCUGUUAUUAGGGAAGAACAAAUGUGUAAGUAACUGUGCACGUCUUGACGGUACCUAAUCAGAAAGCCACGGCUAACUACGUG